AGUGAACGCUGGCGGUAGGCCUAACACAUGCAAGUCGAACGGCAGCACAGUAAGAGCUUGCUCUUACGGGUGGCGAGUGGCGGACGGGUGAGGAAUACAUCGGAAUCUACUUUUUCGUGGGGGAUAACGUAGGGAAACCUACGCUAAUACCGCAUACGACCUACGGGUGAAAGCAGGGGAUCUUCGGACCUUGCGCGAUUGAAUGAGCCGAUGUCGGAUUAGCUAGUUGGCGGGGUAAAGGCCCACCAAGGCGACGAUCCGUAGCUGGUCUGAGAGGAUGAUCAGCCACACUGGAACUGAGACACGGUCCAGACUCCUACGGGAGGCAGCAGUCGGGAAUAUUGGACAAUGGGGGCAAGCCUGAUCCAGCCAUACCGCGUGGGUGAAGAAGGCCUUCGGGUUGUAAAGCCCUUUUGUUGGGAAAGAAAAGCAGCAGGUUAAUACCCCGCUGUUCUGACGGUACCCAAAGAAUAAGCACCGGCUAACUUCGUG
rnacentral:rRNA from 1 species